ensembl:lncRNA
CACCUCUCUUCAUCAAAGUCCAUGAAAAAGUACACGAUCGAAUGCUAUACUGCAUAGGAGUUUUUAAAUUUCUUUAUAUCACUUUCAGGGUAACCAAAUGUACAUCAGCUAGAAAUGCUCUGUCCUUUGGCUGUGGUGGUUUAACAGAGGAAUCAGGAGCAAAUUCUGUAGCUUCCGUUAGACAAUGUAAAGAGAAACUUUCUCCCAGCCAGUACUGGCCUGCCAUCUACUUCAAGAAAGUACUUAUCUCUGGGAGCAGGUCAGGAAGGAAACCAUAAAUAUACACUUGAGGAUCUUGUCAAGUUAAAACUGGGAGACAAAGAACGAGCCUCUGCUGGUGUUGCAGUGCAUUCCAGAAACACCCAGUGGUUGGCCAGCUGUGUGUACCCCAUACCAGAACAGAGAGAGAUUACUCCCGACUGUUACCUUUUAAAUUUAUGGAUCCAUUUCCCCUGUAGCUUUGCCAUUACUGCACUUUUCUAUAACGUUCAAAGAGAGAGGACUUUGCAUUUCAAGUGAAGAAAGGAAAAGCCGUCAAGUUCCUUCCUGGGAAGUAUCUGUUGACCCCCAGUUGGCCCAGAAGCAUGUGCAUGGAAGCAGCAGGGUUUUACAGCACAGGAAGUCAAAUCAAUAGAGAGUCUGUUUCAGAAUUAGCAAACAAAGAUUUAACUCAUAUAAACUUCAUAUCCAGAGGCAUCUGUAAAAGGAAAUGGAAAUUAUUAGACAGCUUUAACGACAACAGAAACUGCUGUUUUCCUUAUAGUCUUUGUAUGCUGUAGUCACAUGUACAUGCUUAUACUUGUAUACUUAACAUUCUUGCUCUCUUACCUUGUUCUUUGUACAGAAAGAAGACCACACACAGAAAAACUGUGUGUUGCAAUAGCAACAUUUGAAAAGGCUGUACUUGAGAUCUAGUAACCCUCUGUGGCAUGUAGCUAGAAAGCUGCUGAACAGAAGGUCAAACCAAAAAGUGAGUGCAACAGACCUGGGGGACAGGAAGAUGCAAAGAUGCACCCUGCUGCUCCCAGGCUGACCUGGGACAACUCUCCACCUGCAGCCCAGCUCUGACACAUGAAGGAGCGGUUCUGGACAGCUUUUAAGCUUUCCUUCCUGCAAGAAAUUAAAUGUGAUUUGGUCAUCGCAUGAAGCUGUCCAGCCAUGUUCUGUCUGCAAGGUCAGCAGCACAGAGGAGGUGGAGAAGCUCUUCUGGACAGUCGCUUGCUUCCCAGGUGUGUGAUGGUAGACCAGAUCAUCCUGGUUUGGAAAAGGUAGCCCAACUUCCAGAACUCAGGUAUUUUCUUAACAGCUGAUCCUUGGAGCUGGCCAUGCCUGAAGUGCUCUGUGGGCUGGCAUGGGAGAAGAAAUAAGACUGGACUGAUCUCUGUGGUUUUGCUCUGCUUUGCUCAUAUGAAAACUUCUAGCAGGUGGUUUUUCUCUGUUCUUGGCAAUUGUUUCUCGUCCUGGAGAAAUGCAAUCUCUGGUUAUCAACUGAUUUAAAACUGGCGUACUCCAUAUUGCCAUAGGCAUGUAUUUUUGUUUGGAUGCAUCAUUGAUGGGACACUUAAGUAGCCUGAGUUUUCUGCAAUGUAUCAUCCAGAUGUGCACGACGGCAAGGCAUCCUUUUAAGUUCCAAG